rnacentral:tRNA from 1 species
UUAUAUAGGGUGUAUUGUUGCACGAUGCUUUUUGGAGGCAUAGGCUUAUUUAUAUCGG